CAGUCGCCGCGGGAAUACGAAGGGUGCAAGCGUUACUCGGAAUUACUGGGCGUAAAGCGUGCGUAGGUGGUGGUUUAAGUCCGUUGUGAAAGCCCUGGGCUCAACCUGGGAAUUGCAGUGGAUACUGGAUCACUAGAGUGUGGUAGAGGAUAGUGGAAUUUCCGGUGUAGCAGUGAAAUGCGUAGAGAUCGGAAGGAACAUCUGUGGCGAAGGCGACUAUCUGGGCCAACACUGACUCUGAGGCACGAAAGCGUGGGGAGCAAACAGGAUUAGAUACCCGCGUAGUCCCUGUCUCUUAUAC
rnacentral:rRNA from 1 species